ACACCGGCAGCUCAAGUGGUAGCCGCUUUUAUUGGGCCUAAAGCGUCCGUAGCCGGUCUGAUAAGUCUCUGGUGAAAUCCCACAGCUUAACUGUGGGAAUUGCUGGAGAUACUAUCAUGACUCGAGGUCGGGAGAGGCUGGAGGUACUCCCAGGGUAGGGGUGAAAUCAUGUAAUCCUGGGAGGACCACCUGUGGCGAAGGCGUCCAGCUGGAACGAACCUGACGGUGAGGGACGAAAGCCAGGGGCGCGAACCGGAUUAGAUACCCGGGUAGUCCUGGCCGUAAACGAUGUGGACUUGGUGUUGGGAUGGCUUCGAGCUGCCCCAGUGCCGAAGGGAAGCUGUUAAGUCCACCGCCUGGGAAGUACGGCCGCAAGGCUGAAACUUAAAGGAAUUGGCGGGG
rnacentral:rRNA from 1 species